AUGGAGGCGCUUUCAGAGAUUCGUGCUGAGGAGACUCGCUUACGUGGUGCUGGUUUACUUGAGGUUUCCUCUGUGCUUGCUAUUCAAGCUCCUGCUAUGCCGCAUGCUGCACCGACUACUCCCCGCUCCAGUGCUCCGCUGCUCUUGCCCACUCCUACUGGCGGUCAGGGCCGCUCUCGUGCUCACUUGGGUACUGUAACCAGGAUGGUCAUGUUGAGUUUCAGUGCUUCCAGAAGAAGCGACACGUGCGUAAGGCGCGGACAUCAUCUUCAGGGACUUCUACUUCUACUUCGACAUCUUCAGCCACUGCCUUGA
rnacentral:rRNA from 1 species